AUAGAAGCAUAUUACGAAGUAACAAGCCCAGUCUGUAUUCUGUCGUAUCCCAUAUGGAAAAAAUAACAAAGGGCAGAAGCAGGAGCGCACUAUAAAAGAAAGCUUACUAGCUCUGAAUCAAUCAUACCUUUCUCGGCCUUUUGGCUAAGAUCAAGUGUAGUAUCUGUUCUUAUCAGUUUAAUAUCUGAUACGUGGGCCAAUGGCUCACACGAUAUUAAAUUUAUUUUUUUAGGGGGAGGGUCCAUCACAGUAGCUUGCUGCUGGGGCUCUCGAUCGUCGCCUUUGCGCUGCACUAUAGCAUUGGCCUGGCGCUCCCCACCAAUUCUAGUCUGAUGUAUUGAUUUGUAUUGUGUGAGGUUUCAAUCAUCUUAGAUGAUUUGUCUUAUUAAGAUUUAAUUGUCUCCAUGUUGAUUUAAUUUGUAGCUUAAAUUAAAUCAACAAAAUCCUUUGAUUUUCUACAAAUUUCCUUUCAAGUGUACUGAUCCAUGCAACUCGGCCACUUAUUUUGAAUGAAUGGGUUAGAGAAUCAGAGGAGAACUGAAGGCUACGGAGAUACUGGAAUCAACGAUCUGGUUCCUUUUUCUGUAAACGAAAAAAGAAAAUGAAGUUUGGGAAACACUCCAUGUUGUAGCUGAAAUCAUUUCAAAGAAAAUAAAAGUAAUGUAUUGAUUUGUUAA